CCUACGGGAUGCAGCAGUGGGGGAUAUUGCACAAUGGGGGGAACCCUGAUGCAGCGACGCCGCGUGGGUGAAGAAGCGCCUCGGCGCGUAAAGCCCUGUCAGCAGGGAAGAAAAUGACGGUAACUGAAGAAGAAGCCCCGGCUAACUACGUGCCAGCAGCCGCGGUAAUACGUAGGGGGAAAGCGUUAUCCGGAUUUACUGGGUGGAAAGGGGGCGCAGGCGGCGAUGCAAGUCAGGAGGGAAAGCCCUGGGCCCAAGCCCGGGACUGCUUUUGGAAUUGCGGGGCUGGAGUGCAGGAGGGGAAGGAGGAACUCCUGGUGUAGCGGUGAAAUGCGUAGAUAUCAGGAGGAACACCGGUGGCGAAGGCGGCCUGCUGGACUGUAACUGACGUUGAGGCCCGAAAGCGUGGGGAGCAAACAGGAUUAGAUACCCGAGUAGUC
rnacentral:rRNA from 1 species